rnacentral:rRNA from 1 species
GACGAACGCUGGCGGCGUGCUUAACACAUGCAAGUCGAACGGAAAGGCCCUGCUUUUGUGGGGUGCUCGAGUGGCGAACGGGUGAGUAACACGUGAGUAACCUGCCCUUGACUUUGGGAUAACUUCAGGAAACUGGGGCUAAUAACGGAUAGGAGCUCCUGCUGCAUGGUGGGGGUUGGAAAGUUUCGGCGGUUGGGGAUGGACUCGCGGCUUAUCAGCUUGUUGGUGGGGUAGUGGCUUACCAAGGCUUUGACGGGUAGCCGGCCUGGGAGGGUGACCGGCCACAUUGGGACUGGGAUACGGCCCAGACUCCUACGGGAGGCAGCAGUGGGGAAUAUUGCACAAUGGGCGGAAGCCUGAUGCAGCAACGCCGCGUGCGGGAUGACGGCCUUCGGGUUGUAAACCGCUUUCGCCUGUGACGAAGCGUGAGUGACGGUAAUGGGUAAAGAAGCACCGGCUAACUACGUG